rnacentral:rRNA from 1 species
GCUCAGGAUGAACGCUAGCUACAGGCUUAACACAUGCAAGUCGAGGGGUAGCAGGGUAGCAAUACCGCUGACGACCGGCGCACGGGUGAGUAACACGUAUCCAACCUUCCCAUAACUCGGGGAUAGCCUUUCGAAAGAAAGAUUAAUACCCGAUAGUACUUAUAUAAGGCAUCUUAAAUAAGUUAAAGAUUUAUUGGUUAUGGAUGGGGAUGCGUUCCAUUAGAUAGUCGGUGAGGUAACGGCUCACCAAGUCUUCGAUGGAUAGGGGUUCUGAGAGGAAGGUCCCCCACAUUGGUACUGAGACACGGACCAAACUCCUACGGGAGGCAGCAGUGAGGAAUAUUGGUCAAUGGGCGAGAGCCUGAACCAGCCAAGUAGCGUGAAGGAUGACGG